UACUGGCCCGUAAGCAAGACAUUAUAGAUAGGAAUUUUUACUACUAGUUUCUGGCUGUAGUUGUAAUGGAAAGAAUAACCUUUUGUCUAAGUAUGAUAUCUUAUAAUUGUCUCUUGAAAUUUUCCAUGUGGGCUUGUACUGUUUUUUGAAUUAACUAUCUGAUUUAAUGAAUAGAGCAGCAAAAGGACAUUCAGAAAUAUACGUGUGCACAGAGAUAUGUACUUGGAGCAACAAAUUUCCUAGAUAGGGGCAUAAACGGACCGAACCAAGUCGAGCUUUAAAGAGUUCAGGCUUGGUUC
rnacentral:misc_RNA from 1 species